rnacentral:lncRNA from 1 species
UUAUUUAUGGCACAUCUAUGACUUGGUAUGUAAGACAUGUGCUAUUGAGAUUGGUUUGGUAUGUGAGACAUAUAAUAUUGAAAUCGGCCAGAAAAGUGCCCGUAAUUAUAUAUUUAUUAUAGCUCACAGAGGGGUCUUAGCCGUAUUCUAUCCUACACGAAGGGGUCUUGACCGGAUAUUGGUCUCGAUCGUGUACAUAUAGUUCACAGAGGGUCUUGACCAUGUUCUAGAUUUGAUUAUCAGAGGUCUUUGAAAUCGACUUUUGUUCACGGAUGGGGCCAAGGGCCUAUGGGGAAAGUUCUUAGCCCGAGGGGCGGAUUACAUAUUUCAAUCAGAUGGUACAUUUUUGAAGAAUUUUUCAGUAUGUUUGAUGGGAUGAGAUUAUAGCGUGAUUAUCAGCUGAUGUUUAUAUCAUGAUUUUGAGAUGAUAUUUU